rnacentral:tRNA from 1 species
GGAGAGGUGGCUGAGUGGUCGAAAGCACCGCACUCGAAAUGCGGCGUGCCUUAACGGGCACCGUGGGUUCGAAUCCCACCCUCUCCGCCA